UACGUAGGGGGCAAGCGUUGUCCGGAAUCAUUGGGCGUAAAGCGCGUGUAGGCGGCUCGGGUAGUCUGGUGUGAAAUCUUUCGGCUCAACCGGAAGCGGUCACUGGAUACUCUCGGGCUUGAGUCCGGAAGAGGAGAGUGGAAUUCCUGGUGUAACGGUGGAAGUGACGCAGAUAUCAGGAGGAACACCCAGUAGCGAAGGCGGCACUCUGGGCCGAUACUACACUGAGGAGCGAAGACGUGGGGAGCGAACAGG
rnacentral:rRNA from 1 species